AACCCAUAUUAAGGAUAUUUCCGCAGGCGAUCCUUAAACCUAUCCCAUGUCUCAAAAAGAGACUCUAAUUCUACUUGCACAAAAAUGGAUAUUUCAUUCCUAAGCAU